rnacentral:rRNA from 1 species
AACGAACGCUGGCGGCGUGCCUCAUACAUGCAAGUCGAGCGAGAAAGGUUGGGCAACUGACCGAGUACAGCGGCAGACGGGUGCGUAACACGUGGAUAACUUACCUGAAAGUCGGGGAUAAGCCUCCGAAAGGGGGUCUAAUACCGGAUAACAUUUUGAAGUGGCAUCACUUCUUAAUCAAAGCUGGCCUCUGCUUGCAAGCUAGCGCUUUUAGAUGGGUCCGCGUCCGAUAGCUAGUUGGCGGGAUAACAGCCCACCAAGGCUCCGAUCGGUAGCCGACCUGAGAGGGUGUACGGCCACACUGGGACUGAGAUACGGCCCAGACUCCUACGGGAGGCAGCAGUAGGGAAUAUUGGACAAUGGGCGAAAGCCUGAUCCAGCGACGCCGCGUGGAGGAUGAA